rnacentral:rRNA from 1 species
UUCCCUACGGGGCGCAGCAGUGAGGAAUAUUGGUCAAUGGCCGAGAGGCUGAACCAGCCAAGCCGCGUGAGGGAAGACGGCCCUAUGGGUUGUAAACCUCUUUUGUCGGAGAACAAAACCCGGGACGAGUCCCGGACUGCGUGUAUCCGAAGAAAAAGCAUCGGCUAACUCCGUGCCAGCAGCCGCGGUAAUACGGAGGAUGCGAGCGUUAUCCGGAUUUAUUGGGUUUAAAGGGUGCGUAGGCGGUCCGUUAAGUCAGCGGUAAAAUUGCGGGGCUCAACCCCGUCGAGCCGUUGCAACUGGCA